UACGUAGGAGGCAAGCGUUGUCAGGAUUUACUGGGUGUAAAGGGCGUGUAGGCGGGAUAGCAAGUCAGAUGUGAAAUUCCGGGGCUUAACCCCGGCGCUGCAUCUGAAACUGUUAUUCUUGAGUGUCGGAGAGGAAAGUGGAAUUCCCAGUGUAGCGGUGAAAUGCGUAGAGAUUGGGAGGAACACCAGUGGCGAAGGCGGCUUUCUGGACGAUAACUGACGCUGAGGCGCGAAAGCGUGGGGAGCAAACAGG
rnacentral:rRNA from 1 species